AUUGAGCGCUGGCGGCAGGCCUAACACAUGCAAGUCGAGCGGAUGAAGGGAGCUUGCUCCUGGAUUCAGCGGCGGACGGGUGAGUAAUGCCUAGGAAUCUGCCUGGUAGUGGGGGAUAACGUCCGGAAACGGGCGCUAAUACCGCAUACGUCCUGAGGGAGAAAGUGGGGGAUCUUCGGACCUCACGCUAUCAGAUGAGCCUAGGUCGGAUUAGCUAGUUGGUGGGGUAAAGGCCUACCAAGGCGACGAUCCGUAACUGGUCUGAGAGGAUGAUCAGUCAAACUGGAACUGAGACACGGUCCAGACUCCUACGGGAGGCAGCAGUGGGGAAUAUUGGACAAUGGGCGAAAGCCUGAUCCAGCCAUGCCGCGUGUGUGAAGAAGGUCUUCGGAUUGUAAAGCACUUUAAGUUGGGAGGAAGGGCAGUAAGUUAAUACCUUGCUGUUUUGACGUUACCAACAGAAUAAGCACCGGCUAACUUCGUG
rnacentral:rRNA from 1 species